GGGUCACCGGCACCAACAAGGGCAUCUCGCCGGUGCCUAUCAACCUCCGCGUCUACUCGCCGCACGCUCCACCCAGCCGUGAUUCCGCCCACUUCCGGCCACGCCUCCAACAGGCUGCCACUUUCGCCCUGAGAUUUCCUAGUCCCACCCACCUG
rnacentral:sRNA from 1 species